AUUGAACGCUGGCGGCAUGCCUUACACAUGCAAGUCGAACGGCAGCACGGGGGCAACCCUGGUGGCGAGUGGCGAACGGGUGAGUAAUACAUCGGAACGUGUCCUGUCGUGGGGGAUAACCAGUCGAAAGACUGGCUAAUACCGCAUGAGAUCGAGAGAUGAAAGCAGGGGGACCCGGGGCGAACCUCGGGCCUUGCGCGAUUGGAGCGGCCGAUGUCGGAUUAGCNGUUGGCGGGGUAAAAGCCCACCAAGGCGACGAUCCGUAGCUGGUCUGAGAGGACGAUCAGCCACACUGGGACUGAGACACGGCCCAGACUCCUACGGGGAGGCAGCAGUUAGGAAUAUUGGACAAUGGGCGCAAGCCUGAUCCAGCCAUGCCGCGUGAGUGAUGAAGG
rnacentral:rRNA from 1 species